rnacentral:rRNA from 1 species
AACACCAAUGCCCUUGGGGUUUUACAGAUGAUUAGUAAUAACUUCUCGAAUCGCACGGCCGAGGCCGCCGAUGGUUCAUUCAAAUUUCUGCCCUAUCAACUUUCGACGGCUGGGUCUUGGCCAGCCGUGGUGACAACGGGUAAUGGAGGGUUAGGGCUCGACCCCGGAGAAGGAGCAUGAGAAACGGCUACUACAUCCAAGGAAGGCAGCGGGCGCGCAAAUUACCCAAUCGAGACACGGGGAGGUAGUGACAAUAAAUACUUAUACAGGUCUCUUUUGGGUAAUGUAAUUGGAAUGAGUACAAUUUAAAUCCCUUAACGAGGAACAAUUGGAGGGCAAGUGGGGUGACAGCAGCCCCGGUAAUUCCAGCUCCAAUAGCGUAUAUUAAGUUGUUGAGGUUAAAAAGCUCGUAGUUGAACCAUGGGCAUAGCCGGCCGGUCCGCCUCACCCAUUGCAUUGGAUAGGCUGGGUCUUUCCUUCAGGAGAACGGCAUGCCCUUCAGUGGGUGUACCGGGGAAACAGCACUUUAC